UACGUAGGGCGCAAGCGUUGUCCGGAAUUAUUGGGCGUAAAGAGCUCGUAGGCGGCCUGUUGCGUCCGCUGUGAAAUCCCGGGGCUCAACCCCGGGCCUGCAGUGGAUACGGGCUGGCUAGAGGCAGGCAGGGGAGAACGGAAUUCCCGGUGUAGCGGUGAAAUGCGCAGAUAUCGGGAGGAACACCGGUGGCGAAGGCGGUUCUCUGGGCCUGUUCUGACGCUGAGGAGCGAAAGCGUGGGGAGCGAAACAGG
rnacentral:rRNA from 1 species